rnacentral:rRNA from 1 species
UACGGAGGGUGCAAACGUUGCUCGGAAUCAUUGGGCGUAAAGCGCACGUAGGCGGACCGCUAAGUCGGAUGUGAAAGCCCUCGGCUUAACCGAGGAAGUGCAUUCGAAACUGACGGUCUUGAGUAUGGAAGAGGGUCGCGGAAUUCCCGGUGUAGAGGUGAAAUUCGUAGAUAUCGGGAGGAACACCAGUGGCGAAGGCGGCGACCUGGGCCAAUACUGACGCUGAGGAGCGAAAGCGUGGGGAGCGAACAGG